rnacentral:rRNA from 1 species
UACGUAGGGCGCAAGCGUUGUCCGGAAUUAUUGGGCGUAAAGAGCUCGUAGGCGGUUUGUCGCGUCUGCUGUGAAAUCCUCAGGCUCAACUUGGGGCGUGCAGUGGGUACGGGCAGACUAGAGUGCGGUAGGGGAGACUGGAAUUCCUGGUGUAGCGGUGGAAUGCGCAGAUAUCAGGAGGAACACCGAUGGCGAAGGCAGGUCUCUGGGCCGUUACUGACGCUGAGGAGCAAAAGCAUGGGGAGCGAACAGG